rnacentral:rRNA from 1 species
CUGGCUCAGGACGAACGCUGGCGGCGUGCUUAACACAUGCAAGUCGAGCGAUGAAGCUUCUUCGGAAGUGGAUUAGCGGCGGACGGGUGAGUAACACGUGGGUAACCUGCCUCAUAGAGGGGAAUAGCCUUCCGAAAGGAAGAUUAAUACCGCAUAAGAUUGUAAUAUCGCAUGAUAUAGCAAUUAAAGGAGCAAUCCACUAUGAGAUGGACCCGCGUCGCAUUAGCUAGUUGGUGAGGUAACGGCUCACCAAGGCGACGAUGCGUAGCCGACCUGAGAGGGUGAUCGGCCACAUUGGGACUGAGACACGGCCCAGACUCCUACGGGAGGCAACAGUGGGGAAUAUUGCACAAUGGGGGAAACCCUGAUGCAGCCAACGCCGCGUGAGUGAUGACGGUCUUCGGAUUGUAAAGCUCUGUCUUCAGGGACGAUAAUGACGGUACCUGAGGAGGAAGCCACGGCUAACUACGUGCCAGCCGCUGC